rnacentral:rRNA from 1 species
GGGGGAGCCUACACAUGCAGUCGAGCGGAACGAGUUAUCUGAACCUUCGGGGAACGAUAACGGCGUCGAGCGGCGGACGGGUGAGUAAUGCCUAGGAAAUUGCCCUGAUGUGGGGGAUAACCAUUGGAAACGAUGGCUAAUACCGCAUGAUGCCUACGGGCCAAAGAGGGGGACCUUCGGGCCUCUCGCGUCAGGAUAUGCCUAGGUGGGAUUAGCUAGUUGGUGAGGUAAGGGCUCACCAAGGCGACGAUCCCUAGCUGGUCUGAGAGGAUGAUCAGCCACACUGGAACUGAGACACGGUCCAGACUCCUACGGGAGGCAGCAGUGGGGAAUAUUGCACAAUGGGCGCAAGCCUGAUGCAGCCAUGCCGCGUGUAUGAAGAAGGCCUUCGGGUUGUAAAGUACUUUCAGUCGUGAGGAAGGUGUUGUUGUUAAUAGCUGCAUCAUUUGACGUUAGCGACAGAAGAAGCACCGGCUAACUCCGUGCCAGCAGCCGCGGUAAUACGGAGGGUGCGAGCGUUAAUCGGAAUUACUGGGCGUAAAGCGCAUGCAGGUGGUUUGUUAAGUCAGAUGUGAAAGCCCGGGGCUCAACCUCGGAAUAGCAUUUGAAACUGGCAGACUAGAGUACUGUAGAGGGGGGUAGAAUUUCAGGUGUAGCGGUGAAAUGCGUAGAGAUCUGAAGGAAUACCGGUGGCGAAGGCGGCCCCCUGGACAGAUACUGACACUCAGAUGCGAAAGCGUGGGGAGCAAACAGGAUUAGAUACCCUGGUAGUCCACGCCGUAAACGAUGUCUACUUGGAGGUUGUGGCCUUGAGCCGUGGCUUUCGGAGCUAACGCGUUAAGUAGACCGCCUGGGGAGUACGGUCGCAAGAUUAAAACUCAAUGAAUUUGACGGGGCCCGCACAAGCGGUGGAGCAUGGUGGUUUAAUUCGAUGCAACGCGAGACCUUACCUACUCUUGACAUCCAGAGAACUUUCAGAGAUGGAUUGGUGCUUCGGACUCUGAGACAGUGCUGCAUGCCUGUCGUCAGCUCGUGUGUGAAAUGUGGGUAGUCCGCACGAGCGCACCCUAAUCUGUUGCAGCGAGUAUGUCAGACUCAGGAGACUGCGUGAUAAACCGGAGGAAGUUGGC